UUUAUGGAGAGUUUGAUCCUGGCUCAGGAUGAACGCUGGCGGCGUGCCUAAUACAUGCAAGUCGAGCGAACGGACGAGAAGCUUGCUUCUCUGAUGUUAGCGGCGGACGGGUGAGUAACACGUGGAUAACCUACCUAUAAGACUGGGAUAACUUCGGGAAACCGUAGCUAAUACCGGAUAAUAUUUUGAACCGCAUGGUUCAAAAGUGAAAGACGGUCUUGCUGUCACUUAUAGAUGGAUCCGCGCUGCAUUAGCUAGUUGGUAAGGUAACGGCUUACCAAGGCAACGAUGCAUAGCCGACCUGAGAGGGUGAUCGGCCACACUGGAACUGAGACACGGUCCAGACUCCUACGGGAGGCAGCAGUAGGGAAUCUUCCGCAAU
rnacentral:rRNA from 1 species